GCAACAGAAUCCGUGUGUGCGUCCUUCAAUCCCGCUGCCACGACCUUCCGCUGCCCAUCCAUGGCGCCGUUGGGCUAGCUUCUCCCGCACCCCAGCGCUGCCUAGUCCGCCCUGCCAAUCUCCACCGCGGCGGACUGCCAUAUCCGCCCUGCCAAUCUCCACCGCGGCGGACUGCCAAAUCCGCCCGCUAGGCCGCCGUCGUGCUAGCACCUCUUGCAUCCUCGUGCAAAUCUUCAUCGCAAUGGGAUUUCUCCACGCCGCCACCUUGCCCACUCCUUUGCAAAAGGAUCAUACGAGUUGAAGGCCUCUCGUACCCCAUUGGAUCUAGGCAAGAAGAAGGUGUCAGGGGUGCCACCGUCGGCAACGCUGUACAUGCGUCCGCUUCAGUAAUUUCAGCAACGUCGCCGCUAGCUUCUCCGCCAACACAUAGCCCUAUCAGUGGUGUAUGCUUUGUGGCAUAAGCCCAAGCACUUGCAUCUACGCACAUAGAACAACACUGUUCCAUUCUUCCACAAGCAGCUAAACUGUUCUGCUCGUCCUUUCAAUUGUCAGGGUGAUGUUCUAGAGACACUCAUUAGAUUAGGGAGACAGAAGGAGAAAGGAACAGGGGAAAUGUUCCUUCAGUUCAUCGUCAAUUCUGUUUACUAGUGGGACUUAUUUUCUUGCUACGGAUCCAGACACCACUAUCCAGCCAUAUUAAGGUGCUUUUAUUCCUUGUGUUGAUCAUUUUUAAGCAGUAAUCUGCUGAUGCUUCCAGAAUAUCUAAUCUUGAAAGAACUUUGUGUCUGAAUCAAUCUUUUGUGGAACCAUAAUGUGUUCCUUAGUAUGAUAAUAUUGGUCUCUUUUAUUGAUAUAGAAGUAAGCUGUUUUUUUUGAAUGAUAUAAGUAAGGUGUUUGUAAUGUCCUUUUUAGAUUCUAGAGACCAUGAAUCUAUCUGAUGUACUGGUUAUUAA